ensembl:lncRNA
UACAGUCAGCAUGGCAAUUGCACACUUCCUCAAAACUUGAGACAUCUUUGACAUUGUGUUGUGUGACAAAACUGCACAUUUUUAGAGUGGCCUUUUAUUGUCCCCAACACAAGGUGCACCUGUGUAAUGAUCAUGCUGUCAGGUGCAUAGAUUAUUUUGGUAAAGGAGAAAUGCUCACUAACAGUGAUGUAAACCAAUUUGUGCACAAAUUUGAGGGAAAUAAGCUUUUUGUACGCGUGGAACAUUUCUGGGAUGUUUUAUUUAAGCUCAUGAAACAUGGGAUCAACACAUUACAUGUUGCAUUUUUGUUCAGUAUAAAUUAGGGCCUGCCCUAUACAGACGAUGCUUAAUUUGAUAGAGCCAGACACAGGCAGGGUGGAAGUGGUAGCCUACAUCUCUGAGGGAGGGAGGGCUGGGUCUUGUGUUAGACAUCAGAAAGUAAAACCACAGCACGGCUUAUGUGCUAAAUCUACGGAAGCUAGUUGAAGCAAUAACAGACAAGAAACCUAACACACUUCCUGUCAGAAAUCAGAAGAAUUUUGUUGUAAAAGAUGCUUUCAAAUGUUGCCGAAACGUGUCUCUUGGUAAAUUGACUAACUUAAAAGGCACAGAAAUCUUAUGACAUAUAGUUUGACUUUACCUAUUACCUAGAGAAGAUGGAACAGAACUUUGCUGAUUUGUUAACGGAUGCAUUUUCAGACACAUCCCUCCCAUCUUUCCCUGAAGGAGGGUUUGACUUUGAGCCUCUUGAUUUUGAUGAAGCCAAGACAGAAAUGUCCUCUGGAAGAUUACCAGUGCUGAGAGAGGAAGAGGAAGAUGUGGAUGAAGGACAGGAAGAGGAAGAGCCUGGUGGAGAAACUGGAACUGUACCUGACCCUAUCUCAGUGAAGACAUAUGAUGAGAAUGAAGAGGAAGAAGAGCAAGAUGAACCUGGAGCUCCAGAGAUUGUUUCUGAUUGUCCUGAUCCCGCAGCAACACAGAAUCUGCUAUCUAUUAUGGUCAAUACCUUUGUGGAACACCCGCUUGAGGCGAAAAUUAAGGACUUCCUAGGGGAUGACCACCAAGAGGCAGGUGAAAGCUUUGCAGAUUACCCCUCUGACUUCUUUCCAAGUGAAUACGACAAGGAUGGAGGGAAAGGGAGAGAGCGAAACAAAAAUGGGAGCACACUGUCUAGUCCCUCUGAGGGUCAUUUAAAGAUAGACGAGAAUGUCGACCCAGAGAGAGAGACAACCGAGCAGAAGGAUAGCCAUGUACAGGGAGAGGAAGAUGAAAAGGUUGAUGUGAGACCUGCUAUCUCUCUGAGCGUAGAAGGCAAACAAGAUUUUGCAGAUUGUGCGAUGUGUAAUAUCAAUAUUGACAUUAGCAUGAAGAAGAUUAUUGAAAACAAUCUUGAAGCUGAUAGUUCCAGUGAUAGUUCCAGUGAUAGCUCCACUGAUAGCUCCAGUGAUAGUUCCAGUGAGGAUGAGAAGGAUAAUGAAGAACACCCAGCCCUGCCAAGAUACCAGGGUCUUCCUCAGAGAGACUGCAGAUCUGAUGUUUUACCUCUACCUGACUGGGAGGGUGGAGAGGAGAACAUCUCCAAGCAGAGUGUUGCCGACCUGCAUCUUUCAGACACCAUCUCUGAUGUCCCCACUUUUACCCUUCACAGUGAGGCUGGACUCAGUACAGCAGAUGUAACCAGGUGUAACAGGGGUAAGAGGAGUACAGGCAACAUGUCAUCAUCUGACUCUGAGGAUAAUUUUCCGGGAGAAUUUUGUACGUUGGAGACUGAACUAAGAAAGGACAAAGGGGAGACUUGGAUUUGGGGUAAAGAGGAGUAUCUUCGAGAAAUCCAGCCGGAGCUAGAAGGAAAGUUGGAGAACCACCUUCACACCAAUAUAAACUGGGACACAGGGGAAAAUAAGGUGGACAGGAGUGGUUUCAUUCUAGAUUACCAGUACGAGGGGAGCAGAAUCACAGUCGGAGAGGAACAAUUUGCAGAUGAUGAAGAAGAGGAGGAGAGGAGUUGGAAACAAGAGAGAGUGAGAAUCGAGGCAUUCUACAAGUUUUAUAAUGACGAAGAGAAGGAGGCCAUGGAAACAGAAGGUGCUUUUUCAAGGAGGAAGCCUAGAGUUCAGUUCUGCAUGGAUCCCCUGCAUCAAGUCAUUGAAUAUACAGACAGCAGCAGUGACACGGAUUUGGUCGACGGCACAUCUGACAGAGAUGAGGACCUGGAUUCUACAGCAAGGCUUGAAGAGCAGCGUGAGCCUGAGACUCAAGAGAGUCAAAAGCCACAAGGAGAACUACAAGAUCUCAGCAAAAUACCUCGGACACACAGCAAGAGAGACUGGGUAAGUCUUUACCCCACAACUUUCUGUAAAAAAAAAGGGCUUCAUGAAAUUGAUGGGAUUACUCUGACACACUGUGUUUGUGUAGUGUCUGAGGGUGCUGAAGUUCCUGCUGAAGAUGGCCCUUUUGACAUUGAUUGGACUUUUGACAUUCUGGUGGACAACAGACCUAAAGGACUUGGACUGGUGAUCUGGACCAAAUACAGUUUUUUGCAAACGACUGUACUGUAUUGUCAAUAUGCCUAUGCCUGA